GACUACUUUGGGUAAAUCAGUGCAAUGGUUGUGACAGAGGCUUGAAACGCACAUAAUUCUUCUGGGACAUUUUUUACUUCCGGGUUGAUUUAAUUUAUUGUAUACAAAAGACGGGAUUUGCUGAGCCUGUGACACCUUAUAAGUAUUGCACACAUGGCAGAGGGUGAGAGAGAUACACCAAGGAAUCAAACCUUGGAUGAUGAGGAAGAUAAUGAGUCUCUACAGGAGUCACCUAAGCCAGAUAAUGUUAUAGUGCGCUUCUCUGUGGAAGAACUGGACUCUUUUGAAGAAACACUAGAGAAGACUUGCAAGAAUGUAACCACAGAAAUUCAUCAGACCCCCACCUUAGUGGGUAGGGCGAGAGUUUCUUAACCCUAAGGCGUUACAUAUAUGUGAAGCCUGAAAUUGUACCCCGCAUUCAUCAGGGAGAGCAGUUUUGUGUAAGAAGCAAUUUGUAUUCACAAAAUAGAGAAAGGCAAACUACCCCAUCAACAAACAUAUGUAAUAAUAUAAAUGAAACAGAAGAACAUGAGAAAUGUCUUAGGUCAUCAGUUUGCACAAUGAACGAUACUAUGGAUCAUAAUGCAAAAAGAUACAAACGUAUAUCCAGGUUAAAAAGUCAACAAGGGGAAUAUUCCAAAAGCUCACCAGAAAGAGAAAGUCCAUCUACCAUGCAGGAGGACUUAAGGAAUGAGUCCAUAACUAACCGUAGAAUCUCAGCUGCUAGUGGUAUUACAAGACUUAGAAGAAUACCAAAGAAUAUUCCAAUAACUCAAGAAAAAGACACACAAAAGGCUUACACCAGAAGGAAACCAUGUUCAAGGGGGGUAGGCAGUGCUGGAGGAACUUGCACUUGCCUGGGAUGCAGGAGAAACAUUCGCUCAAUUCUAGGAAACAAAGCUAUGGUUCCCAAAGCAUCAAAGUCCUAUUUAUGUACUGAGUGUGGUAAAAGUUUUACGCAAAAUGCAAGUCUUGUUGUUCACAAGCGAACACACACAGGUGAAAGACCUCAUGUUUGCAAGGAUUGUGGGAAGAGUUUCAUUAGCAGUGCAUAUCUUGUCAUGCAUCAGAGGAUACACACAGGAGAACGACCAUAUGUGUGUAAGGAAUGUGGCAAGAGCUUUAUAAACAGUUCAAAUCUUAUUAUACACAGGAGAGUACACACGGGAGAACGACCAUAUAUCUGUGGGGAAUGUGGGAAAAGUUUUCGUCACAGUUCAGAUCUUGUUAGGCACCAAAAGGUGCACACUGGAGAAAGGCCCUACUUGUGCACUGUUUGUGGGAAAUGUUUUUUCCGCGGUUCACAUUUGAUUAGACACCAGAGGAUUCAUUCAAGAGUUUUGUAAAAUGACUUUUUAUUGAGUGGUCUGGUGUAGCUGAUACAUUACAAGCCCUCAAUGUUAAUAUUCAGUCUGUGCUUUGCCAAAAAACAUGCGGAAUGAUCUGUAAAGUUGUGAAAAGUCACUUGUUCCAAAAUAUUGUAGUUUCAUAAGCUUUACAUGUUACACAUUAUUUCUCCUUUAUCAAAUUUGCCCCAUAAAUUUAAAGGCAGUUUUAACCUGUUAUGCUAAUCACAUAUAUAUCAUUGUACCAGGACUGUACGAUUGAAGUCUAUUCCAAUCCAUAAGAACAGUCAUGCAACGUGAUUAAAAAUGCUAAUUUAUAAAAAUAUGCAAAAUGAUAUGAAAUAGUGGUACAAGAGUCAAUAAUAUUAAAGAGACAUGAAACUCAAA